rnacentral:lncRNA from 1 species
CCUACCUCAAAAUCGCCGUUUUGAUGUAAUUUUAUCAAAAUUUGAAUCGUACAAGUAACGUUAUGACCUUCAGUUUGUUACUUUUCAUUUAUAUGACGUCACGUUUAGUCAUAACGUCUUUGUGCAAAAACCAUUCAUGAAGUUUCGCGGAGUUUUAUUUUAUUUCAUAAAUGUACAUUUUUAUGCCCCCGCCGUAGCAAAGGGGGCAUUGAGUUAUAUCCUUGUCUGUUUGUACGUAGAUCCGAAUGUACGUAUCAUAGUGUACGUCCGUUUUUACAAAAUUGGUUUCCAUUCUCUACCUUUAGUUUUCCUCAACCAACUGAUAUAAAACUUAUGCACAAUGCUUUU